UACGUAGGGAGCAAGCGUUGUCCGGAUUUAUUGGGCGUAAAGAGCUCGUAGGCGGCUUAGAAAGUCAGGUGUGAAACCUCCAGCUCAACUUGGAGACGCCACUUGAUACUUCUAUGGCUUGAGUCUGGUAGGGGAACACGGAAUUCUUGGUGUAGCGGUGAAAUGCGCAGAUAUCAGGAGGAACACCGAUGGCGAAGGCAGUGUUCUGGGCCAGUACUGACGCUGAGGAGCGAAAGCGUGGGGAGCGAACAGG
rnacentral:rRNA from 1 species